AGCAGCAUUUCUAUUUAAAACACAGAUGAAGGCACAACACAUUCAGAACAGGCACAGACCAGGAGAUUUAUUAUCUUUCUAAAAUAGAGUUGGUGUAAAGAUCUGUGAGAGUGAACUCAGGAUGAAUAUCCUCCUCAUCUUCACCCUCUGUCUGAUCUCAGAUGGAGGAGCCUCAAAUGAAGUAACAGGAUAUUCAGGAGGAGGAAUCCUUAUCAAGUGCAAGUAUGGUGCAAAGGUCACACAAAGCCCAAAAUAUUUCUGUAAGGGUUCAAUGUCAGUCUGUUCUGACCAAAUAAAGACAGGAAAUAAAAACCAGUGGGUAAAUUCAGGAAGAUACUCACUGUUUGAUGACACCAAAUCAUCAGCGUUCUGGGUGAUGAUAAGAGAGCUCACUGUACUGGACACGGGGAUGUACCAGUGUGGAGUUAAUGUAACCACAGGAAAUGAUAUUAAGACAUCAGUGGAACUGAAGAUAAAGGAAGAUCUGUCCUAUAAGAGGUCCAUCAGUAAGACUGUUCAUGCAGGAGGCAACUUGACUGUCAGCUGUAAAUACCCAAAAUCCCUCAAGAGUCACCCUAAGUUUGUCUGCAGGAGGCUGCAAACUGCUGCUUGUUCUUAUAAUACAUCUGUUAAAGAAAGUACAAAAUAUGUAAAAACUGGGAAAAUAUCCCCGUAUGAUGACAGAGAAAACAAAUCUUUAGUGUGAGUAUUAGAGAUGUAACUGAGCAGGACUCUGGUGAGUAUUGGUGUGGAGCUGAAGUACCUUGCAGAUCUGAUCAGGGAUACAAGGUUUAUUUCACACGGAUCGACCUGACAGUCACUGGAUUUCCAGCUUCCACUGUGAUCGCUGUGUCUGUAAUUCUGCUGCUGCUUCUGAUUGGAAUCAUAAUCCUCAUUCUGACUCUAAAAAACAGACACAAGAUGCAAGCAGGCACUUUCCAAAAUUCAGGAAAUGACCAAGGGGUUCCUCUUGAUGUUCAUGAAUAUGAGGAGAUUAAAAUCACCAGACGACUUUCUGCCUCAAACGCUGAAAUGUCCACAGUUUACGUUACUGCUCAACUACCCACAAUCUCCGCUGAUCGUCAUGCUGCAUAUACAGAGUUACCCACAAAACCCUGUGAUUCAGCUGUUUAUUCUUUUGCUCAACAUUUACAUUUACAUUUACGGCAUUUAGCAGACACCCUUAUCCAGAGUGACUUACAACUGAGCAACUGAGGGUUAAGGGCCUUGCUCAGGGGCCCAGUAGUGGCAGCUUGGUGGACCUGGUGGUUCGACCUGGUGGUUCGAACCCAUGACCUUCCGAUCAGUAGCCCAACACCUUAACCACUGAGCUACCACAUCCCCCAACUGCCCACAAUCCCCUCUGAUCAGAACAUCUACUCCAAAGCUCAGUUACCAACAUGUCUCAGUGCUCAGUGCUCGACUAACUGAAACACAAUGGAAAUACAAUAUAGUUUAUAUAUUGUAUAGUAAUUUAUUUUUAAUGAUCAUGCUGACUGAUACAGACCUCUGUGCUCAUAACUGCUGUUUUUCAGCUCUCUAGCAGAAACAUUCUGGAAACAUCUAAAGGAGCACAUUUAUUUAUAUUAUUACUCUGUUAUGAGAUAUUUACAUUAACUUUUACGGCAUUUAGCAACCACCUUAACCCAAAGCAACGUACAAAAGUGCUUUUAAGUCUCUAUCGAUAAAUACAUUAACAAUGGCUCACUAGGUUACAGAGUUAGAAUACCAUCAACCUAAAUCUCUAUUCAAGUUUUUUUUAAAUAUGCACAUACAACAAACAGGGAAGUGAUAGUUCAUAUCAUAAAAAGUGCUAGAUAUAAUAUUAUUGAUAUUUAAUAAAUCUUUUAGUGACGAACUAAUGAGCAGAAUGUUAAAUAAUAAAAAAACACAUUCUGUUGUUUCUAAGUAACAUAGAAAGUAGAAUCAAAUGAGAUGCAAUAAAAUGAGGUCUUUACUUAAACCAAUACAUACUGUAUAAAAUUAAUACUUUGACUUAAGACUCCUAUAGAUCAGGAGCAGAAGAGCAGAGGUGACCGUGCCUUUGCAGUAGCGGCCACGAAACUCUGGAAUAAUUUGCCUUUGUACAUUAGGCAAGCACCUUCACUGGCUGUUUUUAAAUUACAUUUAAAACAUAUUUGUAUAGUGCAGCAUACAACACAGUAUGAUAGUUACCUGUUAGGAGUUCUUUUUAAGUGUGUGUUACUAAUUAUUAUUGUAUUUAUUGCAUUUUUUAUUAUGUUUUUGUUUAUUUUCUUCUUCUUCUUCUUCUUCUUCUUCUUAUUUAAUGCUUUUUACUUCUAUUGCUUAUUUUAUAUUGUUUGUACAGCACUUUGGUGAACACCUGCUGUUUUAAAAAGGUGCUCUAUAAAUAAACUUUGAUUUGAUUUGAUAUAGAUGGCAGUAUUUACAUUUACAUUUAUGGCAUUUUGCAGAUUCCCUUACACCAAUUUUUAUUACACCAAAAUUAUAGUAGUGACACAGUUUAAGGUUCUAGUUAAGUUAAUUAACACAGAUAAGUUUUACUAAAGUUAUUUAGUAAAAUUUGACAGCCAAUUUCUCUGCUGUGUUUUAUAAAAUUAAAGUUAAAUUAGUUUUAAAUUAGCAGCCUCUAGAACCAAGAAG